rnacentral:tRNA from 1 species
UGGGGCUAUAGCUCAGCUGGGAGAGCGCUUGCAUGGCAUGCAAGAGGUCGACGGUUCGAUCCCGUCUAGCUCCACC